CGUAGGGUCCAAGCGUUAUCCGGAAUCACUGGGCGUAAAGCGUGCGUAGGUGGCGCGUUAAGUGAGAUGUUAAAACGUGGGGCUCAACCCUGUCGGUGCAUCUCAUACUGGCGUGCUAGAGGACAGCAGAGGCAAGUGGAAUUAGCAGUGUAGCAGUGAAAUGCGUAGAUAUUGCUAGGAACACCAAUGGCGAAGGCAGCUUGCUGGGCUACUCCUGACACUGAGGUACGAAAGCGUGGGGAGCGAACAGGAUUAGAUACCCUGGUAGUCCACGCCGUAAACGGUGCAUACUAGACGUAUGGGGUAUCGACCCCCUGUGCGUCGAAGCUAACGCGAUAAGUAUGCCGCCUGGGAAGUACGGCCGCAAGGCUA
rnacentral:rRNA from 1 species